CACCCGUUCCCAUACCGAACACGGAAGUUAAGCUCUUCAGCGCCGAUGGUAGUUGGGGGUUUCCCCCUGUGAGAGUAGGACGUUGCUAGGC
rnacentral:rRNA from 3 species